rnacentral:rRNA from 1 species
AGUGAACGCUGGCGGUAGGCCUAACACAUGCAAGUCGAACGGCAGCACAGUAAGAGCUUGCUCUUACGGGUGGCGAGUGGCGGACGGGUGAGGAAUACAUCGGAAUCUACUUUUUCGUGGGGGAUAACGUAGGGAAACUUACGCUAAUACCGCAUACGACCUACGGGUGAAAGCAGGGGAUCUUCGGACCUUGCGCGAUUGAAUGAGCCGAUGUCGGAUUAGCUAGUUGGCGGGGUGAAGGCCCACCAAGGCGACGACCCGUAGCUGGUCUGAGAGGAUGAUCAGCCACACUGGAACUGAGACACGGUCCAGACUCCUACGGGAGGCAGCAGUGGGGAAUAUUGGACAAUGGGCGCAAGCCUGAUCCAGCCAUACCGCGUGGGUGAAGAAGGCCUUCGGGUUGUAAAGCCCUUUUGUUGGGAAAGAAAAGCAGCAGGUUAAUACCCCGCUGUUCUGACGGUACCCAAAGAAUAAGCACCGGCUAACUUCGUG